GACGAACUCUGGCGGCGUGCUUAACACAUGCAAGUCGAACGGAAAGACCCUGCUUUUGUGGGGUGCUCGAGUGGCGAACGGGUGAGUAACACGUGAGUAACCUGCCCUUGACUUUGGGAUAACUUCAGGAAACUGGGGCUAAUACCGGAUAGGAGCUCCUGCUGCAUGGUGGGGGUUGGAAAGUUUCGGCGGUUGGGGAUGGACUCGCGGCUUAUCAGCUUGUUGGUGGGGUAGUGGCUUACCAAGGCUUUGACGGGUAGCCGGCCUGAGAGGGUGACCGGCCACAUUGGGACUGAGAUACGGCCCAGACUCCUACGGGAGGCAGCAGUGGGGAAUAUUGCACAAUGGGCGGAAGCCUGAUGCAGCAACGCCGCGUGCGGGAUGACGGCCUUCGGGUUGUAAACCGCUUUCGCCUGUGACGAAGCGUGAGUGACGGUAAUGGGUAAAGAAGCACCGGCUAACUACGUG
rnacentral:rRNA from 1 species